rnacentral:rRNA from 1 species
AUUGAACGCUGGCGGCAGGCCUAACACAUGCAAGUCGAGCGGAUGAAGGGAGCUUGCUCCUGGAUUCAGCGGCGGACGGGUGAGUAAUGCCUAGGAAUCUGCCUGGUAGUGGGGGAUAACGUCCGGAAACGGGCGCUAAUACCGCAUACGUCCUGAGGGAGCAAGUGGGGGAUCUUCGGACCUCACGCUAUCAGAUGAGCCUAGGUCGGAUUAGCUAGUUGGUGGGGUAAAGGCCUACCAAGGCGACGAUCCGUAACUGGUCUGAGAGGAUGAUCAGUCACACUGGAACUGAGACACGGUCCAGACUCCUACGGGAGGCAGCAGUGGGGAAUAUUGGACGAUGGGCGAAAGCCUGAUACAGCCAUGCCGCGUGUGUGAAGAAGGUCUUCGGAUUGUAAAGCACUUUAAGUUGGGAGGAAGGGCAGUAAGUUAAUACCUUGCUGUUUUGACGUUACCAACAGAAUAAGCACCGGCUAACUUCGUG